rnacentral:rRNA from 1 species
GGCGUAAAGAGCUCGUAGGCGGUUCGUCGCGUCUGCUGUGAAAGCCCGGGGCUUAACCCCGUGGUGUGCAGUGGUACGGGCAGACUAGAGUGCAGUAGGGGAGACUGGAAUUCCUGGUGUAGCGGUGAAAUGCGCAGAUAUCAGGAGGAACACCGAUGGCGAAGGCAGGUCUCUGGGCUGUUACUGACGCUGAGGAGCGAAAGCAUGGGGAGCGAACAGGAUUAGAUACCCUGGUAGUCCAUGCCGUAAACGUUGGGCACUAGGUGUGGGGGACAUUCCACGUUUUCCGCGCCGUAGCUAACGCAUUAAGUGCCCCGCCUGGGGAGUACGGCCGCAAGGCUAAAACUCAAAGGAAUUGACGGGGGCCCGCACAAGCGGCGGAGCAUGCGGAUUAAUUCGAUGCAACGCGAAGAACCUUACCAAGGCUUGACAUACACCAGACCGGCCCAGAGAUGGGUUUUCCUCUUUGAGGUUGGUGUACAGGUGGUGCAUGGUUGUCGUCAGCUUGUGUCGUGAGAUGUUGGGUUAAGUCCCGCAACGAGCGCAACCCUCGUUCUAUGUUGCCAGCACGUGAUGGUGGGGACUCAUAGGAGACUGCCGGGGUCAACUCGGAGGAAGGUGGGGAUGACGUCAAAUCAUCAUGCCCCUUAUGUCUUGGGCUUCACGCAUGCUACAAUGGCCGGUACAAUGGGUUGCGAUACCGUGAGGUGGAGCUAAUCCCAAAAAGCUGGUCUCAGUUCGGAUCGUGGUCUGCAAAUCGACCACGUGAAGUCGGAGUCGCUAGUAAUC